AUUGAACGCUGGCGGCAUGCCUUACACAUGCAAGUCGAACGGCAGCGCGGGCUUCGGCCUGGCGGCGAGUGGCGAACGGGUGAGUAACAUAUCGGAACGUGCCCUGGAGUGGGGGAUAACUAGUCGAAAGAUUAGCUAAUACCGCAUACGAUCUACGGAGGAAAGUGGGGGACCGCAAGGCCUCAUGCUCGUGGAGCGGCCGAUAUCUGAUUAGCUAGUUGGUGGGGAAAAGCCUACCAAGGCCACGAUCAGUAGCUGGUCUGAGAGGACGACCAGCCACACUGGGACUGAAACACGGCCCAGACUCCUACGGGAGGCAGCAGUGGGGAAUUUUGGACAAUGGGCGCAAGCCUGAUCCAGCAAUGCCGCGUGAGUGAAGAAGGCCUGGUGUAAG
rnacentral:rRNA from 1 species